GACGGGGGUAACAGAUCGCUGGAGCCUCUACGUGGCUAGUACGAUUAGCUAGCAUUGCUAAUCUGACAGCGUAGCUAGUACAAUGCCGAGCAUGUAAUGUUUUAAAAAAACAAAAAAGACAAGAAAAAACCUUUUUUUUUUCUUUCUUUCUUCUUUUUUUUUUAAACACAGAUGUUAAGUUUGAUUAUUUAGCUUUAGGUAGUUUCUAUAGCUACUACCAUUUCUCAUCGAACGUUAAAAAGAAAGAAAAAAAAAACUCACUAAAGGCCACGCCCACAGUCGGGAAAACUUCUCGCCCGUCCGUGUGAACGUAGGUUUGUUUGUACAGAUCAAUUCUUUCACAGCGUUCACGUUAGACACACAUUGGUGGGGUUGUUUUUUUUUUUUUUUUUUGUCUGUGUGUUUGUUUUUUUUUCCGUCAAGUCGGAAUUCCCCGUGUCUCUGUUUAGUAUUUUGUCGCGAUACAAAGACGUCGUUUGACAAAAAGUCGUCGCUUAAACAUCCGUGCAAUCCGGAGACGGGUCGAAAUUUGACACUGUAUACGAGGUCCAUCAUGAAUGUAGUUGCAUGCACUGAGUUAAUACGUUUAUUCUAUUUUUUUUUUUUGAAGUGAAAAAACAAAACAAAACCCUGUCGCCUGACUUUAAAGCAUCGUGCCUUUUUCGCCAUAAUGGUUAACGCCGGACCGAUUGAUUGGCUGCUUUCUGUCGGAGGAACGUUUAUUACAUUCGUGGCGGAUCUCCAGGAUGUGACGUAGGUGUGUGAGUCUGCGUGUGAGGUCUGAGGUGUGAACUUUCCCCCUGACUAUCUCCUGUUUUUCAGAAAAAACAUUGGAAGCAGUAACUGAAAUACCUCGUGUUUUAUUUUAAUUUUUUUUCCAUUAGGAUCAAAACGGUAUAUCAAGGCAUUUUUGAGUGAUUUGGGGGGGGGGGCACUUCUGUAUCCUUUCAAACACGUCACUAACAAAUCUCAGUCUUCACUUACUGACUUACACACACUGACCAGGUAGAUUUUUAGUUCAGUGACCAAAUCAGAGCUUAUGUGUAUAUGGUGAAGAAGAAAGGGGGGGGGAGGGGAAGUCAGUGUGCGUUGUUACUUGAUUUUUUUUUCUUCUUUCUUUUCCCUCCGCCUUUCUUCCUUCUCUCGUGAUGUCUUGGGACUUUUUUUUUCCUGUACAUAUUGAGGGCUUUUAAGAUGCAUCUAUCCUUUUCACCUUUUUUGUUUCUCUUUUUUUUCUUUUUAAACAUAUUGACCCCUUUUUCUAAUCUAAAAUCCUACACAGUGAUCAGUCUAAUUUAAUAACGUCCCUGUUUGAUUGUUUAUUCAGAAGAAAAUGUAUUAUCUGCUGCCUGUAUAUUGUAUAUAACUUGUAAAAGAUGACGGUGGGGGGGGGGAAUCAAAAAUCAAAUAAACUCCAAUUUGAAGACGUGCGGAGAUUAGUUAGGGGGCUGUACUUGUAUACAAGUGUAAAGAAUCAAAGUGCAUUUCUUUUUUCCUUUUGUUUUCUUCUCUGUUUGAUUUGCUAAUCACGUAGAUAGUGGUCAGAAUGUCGGUGGUUUGAUGCACUACUGAAAUGAGGUUUCGCAAUAUGAUGAAGGGACGGAUGAUGAUGAUGAUGAUGAUGCAUGCGCCGCAUCACCACCCUAACCCUCCUCACGCUUAGCUUUCUAUCAACGAAUCACCUUCAGGUCACUGUUGGCAUCGUCAUUACUUUUACAUGACUAGGAAACGACCAUUUCACUCGUAUGCCCAUAUAAUGUAUAUUAUAUUUUAUUUUCCCGUAAGUUCACCUCAGUGAAAGAUGCGCACUGAUUUUUUUCACGUUGGAGAGAGAUGAUUAACACCACACACAUUUCUGAUUGUUCUGUUCAUUCUCCGAGAUGCGGGUCUUCGAGUACCGGACCGAUCGAAGCUGUUACUGUGUCUUAAAUGUUUCUCUCCAUCCAUUUACUCGAUGAGGUGUAUGACUAAAAGGGGACUGGAGAACAAAAAGAAGGCGAGGAGGAAUACAAUCAGGCCCUAUGCUGCUUUUUAUGCUUGUUCUAUUCACUUAGCUCAAGUGUGUGUGUGUGUGUGUGUGUGUGUGUGUGUGUGUGUAGCGUGUUGCCGGAGAGGAGGAUCCGAGACUGAGCGAGUUGCCUUCCUGCACCUUUUCCUAACACCCCUCCCCCCGUCUGUUAAACAUCUUUUUUGUGUGUUGUUUCGGCUGCAAUGUUUGUUUUUGUUUGUUUGUUUUGUUUUUUUUCCGACUGCAUGUGGAAAAACCCUGAUUGUAAAUAUUUGUCAUUUUUACUCUUUCUGUAAAAAAAAAAAAAAAAAAAAAGAAAGAAGAAGGAAAAGAAGAACUUCCUGUCGAUGCAAGAGAAGAGAAGAUGCGAUUCUUUAAAGUUCCCCCCACAUCCAUCGUGUACCUUCUUUGGAGAAUCGUGUAACGGAAUUAAAACCCCACGCGCGGCGUUUCACCCCGUCUGAAAGAGUCGUUUAUCGCACACUUGGACGAUUCUCUCCUCCAUCCGUAUCCCCUGUUCGUUUAAAUAAAUAAAUAAAUCGAUAAUUUUUGGACUCUGAUCUUUACGGGGGCUUCUUUUUUACGCUCGCUGUCCAUCACGUUGUCCAAGUGUGUAGAGGAUGAUGAGGGUGGUGGUGGUGGUGGUGGUGGUGGUGAGGAUGAUGGGAGGGCUUGGGUGUACUUCAUACGUGCUGACGUUUUUUUUUUUGUUGUUGUUUCGUUUGUUUGUUUCCCCUCAUCGAUAAGUUUGACAUGCUGAACUGAAUCAGUGUCCCGUGUCUUCAAGGAGUGAGUGAGCGAGCGAGCGAGUGCUGGACUGAAAAUAAUUCAUGAUGAUGAAUGAAAAACUUGUAAUCUACUACAAUGGGAUAUUUUAGACUUAUGCUGUGUAUAAUUGUCUUUGGGUUGGAGAAAAUGACCAAGAGAAAUAAAACAUUUUAAAAAAGUCAAAACUAACAUGGCCAUUUAUUUAUUUAUUUAUUUAUUUAUGGAAGUAAUGAAUUAUUUGUAUUACCAUUGUUUACCAGUUUUUACUUUUAUUAUUCUUCUUCUUACUGUAGUUACUUUAUCACAAUAUAUUAAGAUAUUUCUAUAUUACUAAUCUGACAUCUUUGUUAAUAUGCGUACGGUAAUUAUUGUUUCUAUUAGUAGUACUGAAUGUGCGUUGAAUACCUGAGCCGUGUUUUUCUAAGAACGUUGGGAGCGGAGUUGCUAUGACGACGGGAACUGUAACGUUACUGUAAUUACAUUGCUAUUAAUACUUGUUUAUUAUUAUUAGUAGUAGUAAUUGAUUGUUUAGUACUACAAUUAUAGCUACCAUUUUAGUACUACAUCUUUCUACAUUCAUCACUGUUAUGGUUAGGAUUGCUGCUAUUAUUAGUAUUAUGAAAUGAUUACUAUUUUUAAUAGUUAUUAGAUAAUUAGUGCAUAAUGAUUAUUAUUGCGCCUGCUAUUUUUAUUACUCUUAUUUUUACUAUGUAUUAUUUUUUACUAUUGCUAUUCUGACAUUAUUAUUAUUAUUAUUAUUAUUAUUGUUUUCACUUUAUUAUUAGUAGUAGUAGUAGUAAUGUUUUUAAUAUUGCUAUUAUUAAUAUUGACCAUUUUAGUGCUAAAUUUUUCAGCUAGUACUAUUUUCUCAUUUUUAUUUGUUAGGAUUUUUCUUAUUUUAUUUUUCUGAUUCUAAAAUGAAUCAUGCGGACCGAACCAUGAGUCGUAGAGACAUGAAAACUGGUCAACAGGUAGUACUCCCUCCCGCUGCUCAAGCGAGUGAGCCGGACCUGAUUGGCCCAACGGCAGAGUUUGGGUCGUGGUC
ensembl:lncRNA